UGCCAGCCGCCGCGGUAAUACGGAGGGUCCGAGCGUUAUCCGGAAUCAUUGGGUUUAAAGGGUCCGUAGGCGGGCCUGUAAGUCAGGGGUGAAAGUUUGUGGCUCAACCAUAAAAUUGCCUUUGAUACUGCAGGUCUUGAGUCAUGGUGGGGUUGCCGGAACAUGUGGUGUAGCGGUGAAAUGCAUAGAUAUCACAUAGAACACCGAUCGCGAAGGCAGGUGACCAACCAUGUACUGACGCUGAUGGACGAAAGCGUGGGUAGCGAACGGGAUUAGAUA
rnacentral:rRNA from 1 species